CGCUAUCACUCCUACGGGAGGCAGCAGUGGGGAAUUUUGGACAAUGGGCGCAAGCCUGAUCCAGCAAUGCCGCGUGCAGGAAGAAGGCCUUCGGGUUGUAAACUGCUUUUGUCAGGGAAGAAAUCCUUUGGGCUAAUACCUCGGAGGGAUGACGGUACCUGAAGAAUAAGCACCGGCUAACUACGUGCCAGCAGCCGCGGUAAUACGUAGGGUGCGAGCGUUAAUCGGAAUUACUGGGCGUAAAGCGUGCGCAGGCGGCUUUGCAAGACAGAGGUGAAAUCCCCGGGCUCAACCUGGGAACUGCCUUUGUGACUGCAAGGCUAGAGUACGGCAGAGGGGGAUGGAAUUCCGCGUGUAGCAGUGAAAUGCGUAGAUAUGCGGAGGAACACCGAUGGCGAAGGCAAUCCCCUGGGCCUGUACUGACGCUCAUGCACGAAAGCGUGGGGAGCAAACAGGAUUAGAUACCCUGGUAG
rnacentral:rRNA from 1 species